GUUCUAAGAGGAUUGCAGAAGCAGCCUCAGGGCAUUGAGCACAGACUGAAUGACUCAGUGACGCUUGGAUCAGGUCAGAUCAAAUUCUCAAGCAAACAGAUGGCUGGGGAUAUUCAGUAACAACGGUGAGGAGAGAGAGGAACAAUUCACAUUUCAAGGGACCCUUCCUCAAAACGGCCUGUUCUGAAGGAGCUUUCCCGCAGAAAUCACUGGAUUGAAAGCUUCUGGCAACAAAUGGCCACAAACCGAUCAAAGGUGAAAGUGACGGUGAACCAGACAGAGCAGUCAGUGGCUGCAUAAAGCAGGACGGCGUGGAUAUUGCACACGGGGACGGAGUACCUCAGGAAAUAAAACUGUUCCUGAUAAACAAUGGGAAUGUGUCUCAGGAUCAGGUCGAGGAUAAUGACCAGGAGAUCCGCCGCUGCCAUGGCCCCCAGGUGCUGACAGACCUGCUGAGCUCCCUCAGAAGUGAAUAGGCAAAGAACAAACUUUCACAAACAACUAACUAUGGAUACUGGUAAUAAAAAUACCAAAAUUGCUUGAGAAACGGAGAUCUUUGUCGAGGGUCACUGGAUCUGAAAGUUUAACACUGCAUUCAUUCCAGAAGAUGCUGCAACAUCUUCAGCAAUUUCUUAAGCAAUUUCUGUUUUUGGAAAAUUUCCAAAGAAGUACGUCAAAGAUGCUCAACCAUCCUGUCCAACAUGGAGAGCCGUACACUGGGAACUGAACAAUAACGCAUGGUGCACAAGUUCCUUGACUCUGAAACUUCAUAAAUCUGGCAUCACUGACACUACAGAACUCUUAAUCAUGGUCAGGGAGAAUAACAGAGGGGAACACAUUCACUUCAAAUACAGAAGUUGACGUUGUGGAAGAGAAACGAUUUAGAUCAUUACUUUAAAUGGAUUCAGUUAAAGUAACAAAUUAGAGGAGUGACACCAUGAAGAGGCCCUCAGCAGAAUGAGAAUAUGAAAAUGCAAGUGUUACCGCAUCAGAAACCAGGUUAGGUCACUGAAUACAGGGCUGAUGGGUGAAUGGGUCUCGGUGUGAACUGGGGGACAGUCAGUAGAAUUGAAUUGUAGAUAUUGUAGACCACAGCAGCAGCAGAAACAGAAUUGUAUUCAACGACAAUCUGUAACAUUUUCCUGAUGAUAAUUCUACCAUUACCAUCAAGCCGAUCCAUAGUUCAGUGAUGAGUGUGGGUGAACAUGCCAGGGUCGAAUCACGUGAACCUAAACCUGUUGACAACCCAUUAAAGCUACUGCAAUCAACUGGUUAAAUUCCGACCAGCAGAACUAAUGUCUGAUGGAGAGGGGAAAUGAUCCCAAGACUAACAGAUCAGACCUAAGCUCUGUCGUCCUGCCAAAUGCAAACAUAAAUGUCGAUGGACUAUUAAACAAUUUACUGGAGCAGAGUACUCCACAAAUAUUCUCAUCCUAAAUAUCGGAACAGCUCUGUACGUCAAUGAAAAAAGUCAAGGAUGUGGUGUCUGCACUAUCCUCAGCCAGACGUGUUGAGUGAAUGAUGAUCCACCUUACACUCAUCAUGUUUCCCACAGAAUCACAGAUGGUAGUGUUCAAACAAUUCGAUUUUCUGCCCGUGACGUGAAGAAACAGCUGAACACAGUAGAUACGACAAAGGCAAUGGGCCCUGACCCCAUUCCUGCAAUAGGACUGAAGAUUUGUGCUGCACAACAAGCCGUGUUCCUGGGGAAGUUGUUUCAUUCCAGCUCCAACUCUGACAUCUCUCUGGCAAUAUAGAAAAUUACUCAGCUAUGCCCAGUCCGUGAAUAGGAGAAUAAUUACAAUCGGACCUUUUACCACACCCUCAGUCGAAUCAUGACAGUCAAAUUGGUGGGAAUACUUUUUCUUAGAGCUGUCAAGUAGCACCGAAGUAAUCAGGUCAGUGUGGUUUCCGAUAGAUCCCCAUGUGGAGAUGGUGCUGUAGUGGAUAUAUCAUUGGAUUGCAAAUCCAGACUAGGCCAAUGCUUUGGCAGCUGGUGGAAGUUAAAAAUAAUUAAUAAAAUAUCGAGACCUAAAAUCUGGUGUCAGUAACAGUGAUCUUGUGUCCAAUGUUGAUUGUAAACAUCGAUCUCCUACACCAAUAUACUUCCAGGAAGUCAAUCUCCUGUGCUUUCUUGGUCAGGCGAAAAGUGACUCCAGACGCACAGACAUGGUCCCUGAAUCGGCCAAGUGAGACACUCAUUCGUAUCAAACUACUCUGAGGUCUUAAAGGAUAAAACUUGACAGAACACCCGGCAUCAACCUCGUUAAAGGAAAGGGAAUGGGAAACACAGUCCUGUUGACCCUGCAUAGACAUCCUUCCUAACAUCUGAGAGCUUGUGAUGGCAUUUAGAUUUGGUUUGAUUACUUACAGUGUGGAACCAGGCCCUUCGAACCAACAAGUCCACACCGACCCGCCGAAUCGCACCCACCCAGACCCA